rnacentral:rRNA from 1 species
UACGUAGGGGGCAAGCGUUGUCCGGAAUCAUUGGGCGUAAAGCGCGUGUAGGCGGCUCGGUAAGUCUGCUGUGAAAGUCCAGGGCUCAACCCUGGAAAGCCGGUGGAAACUGUCAAGCUUGAGUCCGGAAGAGGCGAGUGGAAUUCCUGGUGUAGCGGUGAAAUGCGCAGAUAUCAGGAGGAACACCAAUGGCGAAGGCAGCUCGCUGGGACGGUACUGACGCUGAGACGCGAAAGCGUGGGGAGCAAACAGG